AUUGCUUAGUAAAAUUGACAAAGAAAACAAAAUAUGCUAUUUAAUGGGUGAUUUCAACAUCGAUCUACUAAAAUCAGAAUCUUGUGAUUAUACCAAUAAAUUUCUUGAGGUACUAUUUACAUCAUCAUACAUUCCGCUAAUACUAAAACCAACAAGAAUCACACAACAUACAGCAACACUUAUUGAUAAUAUUUUUACCAAUGAUAUUGAC